rnacentral:rRNA from 1 species
GACGAACGCUGGCGGCGUGCUUAACACAUGCAAGUCGAACGGAAAGGCCCUGCUUUUGUGGGGUGCUCGAGUGGCGAACGGGUGAGUAACACGUGAGUAACCUGCCCUUGACUUUGGGAUAACUUCAGGAAACUGGGGCUAAUACCGGCUAGGAGCUCCUGCUGCAUGGUGGGGGUUGGACAGUUUCGGCGGUUGGGGAUGGACUCGCGGCUUAUCAGCUUGUUGGUGGGGUAGUGGCUUACCAAGGCUUUGACGGAUAGCCGGCCUGAGAGGGUGACCGGCCACAUUGGGACUGAGGUACGGCCCAGACUCCUACGGGAGGCAGCAGUGGGGAAUAUUGCACAAUGGGCGGAAGCCUGAUGCAGCAACGCCGCGUGCGGGAUGACGGCCUUCGGGUUGUAAACCGCUUUCGCCUGUGACGAAGCGUGAGUGACGGUAAUGGGUAAAGAAGCACCGGCUAACUACGUG